UUAAGAUUUAAAAAAAAGAAGUUUACCAACUUUUGAAAUUGAGUUGCCCAGGCCAAAAUCUACUUGCCCCAGGCUCACGGGAAACCACAUAUUUCCAUCCCUGUAUGCUCUUCAUUUUCUGAUCUUCCAUCCCAUUCUCAAAAUUAAUUUUAAAGCACAAUAUUUUUUAAUAACAUUUGUAUGAAUUACUAACCAUUAUCACCCAAAACACAAUUUUACAACGCUGUAAUCGUGUCGUAGAGAUUUAGUUUACUAUUAUCAGUGUUCUCUUUAAAUACCGUCAGCCAGCGAUUCUGCCGGUUACAUUUACUCUUACAUUUACAUGACGGCUUCUUUUCCCAAAUAUAUCAAGUAAAUGUCAUAAAUGCUUUUGUUUUACUGCAUAGUUGCCGGCCAUAUAACUGGUACUCAAUUUUCUGGAAAACACUGAAUUAUGCAUGACAAACACACAAUACUUAAAAUCUUAGAUUCGUUUUUAAAAUAAAUUGACACUUCCAGCUUGUCGCCAUUAAAAUCCAAAGAUUCAAAUAAUUUUCCACGAGGUACGUCAACAAUUGCGUAAUCAAAUGAAUGAAAAAUAAAAGUAAAGAAAGCCGGUGUUUACAUAAAUUCCAGGUUGAUAAACACAACAAGGUAAAUGUACCUUGUAGUCGGUGAGAUAUAAUAAUAAUACAGUUAGUAAGGCUCGUACCCUGGGUACGGUAAAUAUACUAAAACGUACCCAGAAAUUUUAACACUAAAUCGGUUGUUGUCGGGUAUUUUGUAAAAAUUAAUUAUGUUUACAUUUAUGUCAAUUUUCUGUUCAAUGGCAUUUAUAUUAUCAAAACUCAUUGUUAAAAUCAAUGAUGUGAUUUAAUUUUAAAUCUUAAAUUGUUUAAAGUCGCGUCAUUGUAUGACGUCGUCAAGUAUAAUAUUUUCCGCGACAUCGCACGCUCACUUUUUACCGUCAUAGAUUUUUUUAAAGAAACAUUAUUUGGUUUGCAAGGUCCGUUAAAUGGGGAACACCAUAUUCGGUAUUUAUAUUAUGUUUUAACAAUUAAUUCAUGCUGUGUAAUAAAUAUUGUAUAAGAUAUUUCGAUAUUGAUUGAAAAUGUUUCAAAUUGUUAUUUAUGAAACCUCUUAUUCUAAUGAGUGUAUGCUAUUAUAUUAUACUUUGAAAAGCAUAUCUGUUGUACUAUAAUCUUAUUAUUCAUUUUUUAUUGUUAAUUUCAUUUAUUGUAGAGAAUCGUCAAUGUUACAUCUAGGCGCCAAUGCUUGUCGUCAGUGUUAGUCGUAAAUGCUUGUGAUCAUUGUCGUCAAUGUUAGUCGUCAAUCCUUAUCGUCAUUAUACAUGAAGGAAAUAAAAGCAGAAACAGA